CAUGUGCAGUUCACGAGAGACCAGUGUUUGUCGGUGGGGACGCCAAAUAACACAACACCGGUUCAGGCGUUUCUAGUAUUACCGUCCAUAUGUACGUGUCAACGUGUGGUUUUCAGAUUUUGUAAGUUUUUAAAAAUACAGAUAAUGAAAAUAUGAAUUCAUCUAUGUUUUUUAUUUGAAAUAUCAAUAUAGUAUCAUUUUUGCCUAUCGGACUUAUCGCUAGCUAGUAUCGGAAUUGUGGAUUAAUAUCGGGUAUCGGUUAUCGCCUAUAUUUGUGUUUCCAGUUAACGAAUAUCGGUUAUCACCAAUAAGGUUUUCCAUUAUCAGUUAUCGGUUAUCGGGAAUAAGGUUUUCUGUUAUCGUGCCCUGCUAUGGUUAUGCGAGCCAGGGUGGGCACCUGCUGGAGGCUAGGUGGGCGCGGGGUGGAUAGGUUUAGUAGGGUUGAGUAAACGUGAGAAUUACAAUAACAUUAAUCCUCAUGAUUCCCUGGUAGCACGUAUAUAAUUUGUUUAAUAUUAUUAGGUAGUAUUAAUGGUUUAUAUGGAUCAUGUGUCCCUCGUUCAGUAAAAAUAGUAGUAGUUGCUAAUAGGCGCACCUAACACAACCAAAAUAUGGGGUACACACUUGGCUCAGGGACUGUUUUGGGGUGUCAUUGAAGGUAACGGGCUCAAGAGUGGCCUGUCCAGAUAUUUUGUUUUUUAUUUAUUGAUGAUCCACGAGACAUCCUAGAGUUAAAUCAAAGUAUGUGGUUAUCUUUGUAUUCAUUCCUACACACUCUGGUAAUAUCUCUGUGGGGUCUGAUUCACUUAUUAGAGUGAAAUUCUAUUGUGGAAAACAGCCACAAAUUCGUGUCACUGGUGAAAAUGAAACUGAUAAUUUAAAUUUUGCCACCAUGAAAUAUAUACAAAUAGAUAAAUUUGAGUGACUUCACCUGCUUGAUGUUUACACAGUUAAUUGACACCAAACUUGAUUUGCAGACACUACCAAACGAAGAAGAGGAGGAGGAGGAGGAGGAAGAAGACGAGGAACACAGGAGGAGCCCAUUGAGUGUGCGGUGUCCCGCAGGCAGGCAGACCGAGACGCCAGCCAUUCAAUUCUGCCGAGGGAAGGAAGUCGUGUUAGUCAACUCUGAUGACUUGUACUUUUCUACCUGUUCUGUAAGCCAGUCACAGAAGAUGUGAACUGUAUCUGUACUAUGAAGUCUUAUAAAUAAAGUUAAAGGCUACA